AAAGAGCUCGUAGGUGGUUUGUCGCGUUGUUCGUGAAAUCUCACGGCUUAACUGUGAGCGUGCGGGCGAUACGGGCAGACUUGAGUACUGCAGGGGAGACUGGAAUUCCUGGUGUAGCGGUGGAAUGCGCAGAUAUCAGGAGGAACACCGGUGGCGAAGGCGGGUCUCUGGGCAGUAACUGACGCUGAGGAGCGAAAGCGUGGGGAGCGAACAGGAUUAGAUACCCUGGUAGUCCACGCCGUAAACGGUGGGUACUAGGUGUGGGUUUCCUUCCUUGGGAUCCGUGCCGUAGCUAACGCAUUAAGUACCCCGCCUGGGGAGUACGGCCGCAAGGCUAAAACUCAAAGAAAUUGACGGGGGCCCGCACAAGCGGCGGAGCAUGUGGAUUAAUUCGAUGCAACGCGAAGAACCUUACCUGGGUUUGACAUGCACAGGACGCCGGCAGAGAUGUCGGUUCCCUUGUGGCCUGUGUGCAGGUGGUGCAUGGCUGUCGUCAGCUCGUGUCGUGAGAUGUUGGGUUAAGUCCCGCAACGAGCGCAACCCUUGUCUCAUGUUGCCAGCGGGUAAUGCCGGGGACUCGUGAGAGACUGCCGGGGUCAACUCGGAGGAAGGUGGGGAUGACGUCAAGUCAUCAUGCCCCUUAUGUCCAGGGCUUCACACAUGCUACAAUGGCCGGUACAAAGGGCUGCGAUGCCGCGAGGUUAAGCGAAUCCUUUUAAAGCCGGUCUCAGUUCGGAUCGGGGUCUGCAACUCGACCCCGUGAAGUCGGAG
rnacentral:rRNA from 1 species